GACAGAGGCCUCAAGCGUUAGGCGGAAUCACUGGGCUUAAAGCGUGUGUAGGCGGAUCGUUAAGUGUCUUGUGAAAUCCCACGGCUCACCCGUGGAACUGCUGGGCAUACUGGCGAUCUUGGGCCAACUAGGGGCAACUGGAACAAGCGGUGGAGCGGUGAAAUGCGUAGAUAUCGCUUGGAACGCCAACGGUGAAAACAGGUUGCUGGGGUGUGCCGACGCUGAGACAC
rnacentral:rRNA from 1 species